rnacentral:misc_RNA from 1 species
GUGAAUCAUCGAAUCUUUGAACGCAAAUUGCGCUUCCUGGGAUCCCGGGAAGUAUGCCUGUGUGAGGGUCAGUAUUAAUAAAAAAUCUGGUGAGUUACAAAUUGUGACGUUUCCAGAGUUUGGGCUAUCUUAACAUGUUUGGUCAAGAGGCUUAAAAUUGACCUUUUUUGCGCAUUUUGAGACGUACAUAAAUUUUUUUUAUUCGUCUAGUCUUAAUUCCAAAAGCUUAGUAGAUGCGA